GCCUAACACAUGCAAGUCGAACGGUAACAGGAAGCAGCUUGCUGCUUCGCUGACGAGUGGCGGACGGGUGAGUAAUGUCUGGGAAACUGCCUGAUGGAGGGGGAUAACUACUGGAAACGGUAGCUAAUACCGCAUAACGUCGCAAGACCAAAGAGGGGGACCUUCGGGCCUCUUGCCAUCGGAUGUGCCCAGAUGGGAUUAGCUAGUAGGUGGGGUAACGGCUCACCUAGGCGACGAUCCCUAGCUGGUCUGAGAGGAUGACCAGCCACACUGGAACUGAGACACGGUCCAGACUCCUACGGGAGGCAGCAGUGGGGAAUAUUGCACAAUGGGCGCAAGCCUGAUGCAGCCAUGCCGCGUGUAUGAAGAAGGCCUUCGGGUUGUAAAGUACUUUCAGCGGGGAGGAAGGCGACAGGGUUAAUAACCCUGUCGAUUGACGUUACCCGCAGGAGAAGCACCGGCUAACUCCGUGCCAGCAGCCGCGGUAAUACGGAGGGUGCAAGCGUUAAUCGGAAUUACUGGGCGUAAAGCGCACGCAGGCGGUCUGUCAAGUCGGAUGUGAAAUCCCCGGGCUCAACCUGGGAACUGCAUUCGAAACUGGCAGGCUAGAGUCUUGUAGAGGGGGGUAGAAUUCCAGGUGUAGCGGUGAAAUGCGUAGAGAUCUGGAGGAAUACCGGUGGCGAAGGCGGC
rnacentral:rRNA from 1 species